rnacentral:rRNA from 13 species
AGUUCCGACCUGCACGAAUGGCGUAACGACUUCCCCGCUGUCUCCAACAUAGACUCAGCGAAAUUGAAUUACCUGUCAAGAUGCAGGUUUCCCGCGGUUAGACGGAAAGACCCCGUGCACCUUUACUACAGCUUCACACUGGCAUCAGGCCAAGCAUGUGCAGGAUAGGUGGUGGGCUUUGAAACCGGAACGCCAGUUCCGGUGGAGCCUCCCUUGAGAUACCACCCUUGCUUUGCUUGAUGUCUAACCGCGGU